GACGAACGCUGGCGGCGUGCUUAACACAUGCAAGUCGAACGGAAAGGCCCUGCUUUUGUGGGGUGCUCGAGUGGCGAACGGGUGAGUAACACGUGAGUAACCUGCCCUUGACUUUGGGAUAACUUCAGGAAACUGGGGCUAAUACCGGAUAGGAGCUCCUGCUGCAUGGUGGGGGUUGGAAAGUUUCGGCGGUUGGGGAUGGACUCGCGGCUUAUCAGCUUGUUGGUGGGGUAGUGGCUUACCAAGGCUUUGACGGGUAGCCGGCCUGAGAGGGUGACCGGCCACAUUGGGACUGAGAUACGGCCCAGACUCCUACGGGAGGCAGCAGUGGGGAAUAUUGCACAAUGGGCGGAAGCCUGAUGAAGCAACGCCGCGUGCGGGAUGACGGCCUUCGGGUUGUAAACCGCUUUCGCCUGUGACGAAGCGUGAGUGACGGUAAUGGGUAAAGAAGCACGGGCUAACUACGUG
rnacentral:rRNA from 1 species